rnacentral:misc_RNA from 1 species
ACACUAUUAAAAAAUCCAACGUGUCCUUAAACAUCCGUUUUAAGACAUAAACCCCCUUUUUUUAAAAGCGAACUAAAACGAAGGAUUUAUUUCUCUUCGUUUCUUUUUUUUUUCUUUUCUAUUUUUUACCAUAAACCCAAUUGAAUUUUUUAGACUGAAACUUUUUUCCUCUGGAAACAGAGAAAAAUAAAAAAACAAAAUGCUAUA